AUUGAACGCUGGCGGCAGGCCUAACACAUGCAAGUCGAGCGGUAGAGAGGUGCUUGCACCUCUUGAGAGCGGCGGACGGGUGAGUAAUGCCUAGGAAUCUGCCUGGUAGUGGGGGAUAACGUCCGGAAACGGACGCUAAUACCGCAUACGUCCUACGGGAGAAAGCAGGGGACCUUCGGGCCUUGCGCUAUCAGAUGAGCCUAGGCCGGAUUAGCUAGUUGGUGAGGUAAUGGCUCACCAAGGCGACGAUCCGUAACUGGUCUGAGAGGAUGAUCAGUCACACUGGAACUGAGACACGGUCCAGACUCCUACGGGAGGCAGCAGUGGGGAAUAUUGGACAAUGGGCGAAAGCCUGAUCCAGCCAUGCCGCGUGUGUGAAGAAGGUCUUCGGAUUGUAAAGCACUUUAAGUUGGGAGGAAGGGUACUUACCUAAUACGUGAGUAUUUUGACGUUACCGACAGAAUAAGCACCGGCUAACUCUGUGCCAGCCGCCGCCGUAACAC
rnacentral:rRNA from 1 species